AGUGAGGGGGUGACUAGUGACCGAGUGAGGGGAUGACUGGUGACUGAGUGAGGGAGGGGGUGACUAGUGACAGAGUAAGGGACGGAGGGGGUGACUAGUGACAGUGAGGAAGGGGGUGACUAGGGACAGAGUGAGGGAGGUGGUGACUAGUGACAGUCACCACCUCCCUCACUCUGUCACUGUCACCCCCUCCCUCUGUCACUAGUCACCCACUCCCUCCCUCCCUCUGUUACUGGUCACCCACUCCCUCCCUCUGUCACCAGUCAUCCCCUCACUCUGUCACUAGUAACCCCUUCCUUCCCUCACUCUGCCACUAGUCACCCUUUCCCUCACUCUGUCACCUGUCACCCCCUCACUCUGUCA
rnacentral:sRNA from 1 species